rnacentral:rRNA from 1 species
GGGGAAUAUUGGACAAUGGGCGCAAGCCUGAUCCAGCCAUGCCGCGUGAGUGAUGAAGGCCUUCGGGUUGUAAAGCUCUUUUGGCGGGGACGAUGAUGACGGUACCCGCAGAAUAAGCCCCGGCAAACUUCGUGCCAGCAGCCGCGGUAAGACGAAGGGGGCAAGCGUUGUUCGGAAUUACUGGGCGUAAAGGGCGCGUAGGCGGUUCUUUAAGUCAGGCGUGAAAGCCCUGGGCUCAACCUGGGAGUGGCGCUUGAUACUGGGGGACUAGAGAGUGGGAGAGGUUGGUGGAAUUCCCAGUGUAGAGGUGAAAUUCGUAGAUAUUGGGAAGAACACCGGUGGCGAAGGCGGCCAACUGGACCAUUUCUGACGCUGAGGCGCGAAAGCGUGGGGAGCAAAC